CCUACGGGAGGCAGCAGUAGGGAAUCUUUCACAAUGGGCGAAAGCCUGAUGGAGCAACGCCGCGUGCAGGAUGAAGGCCUUCGGGUUGUAAACUGCUUUUAUAAGCGAGCAAUAUGAUGGUAAUUUAUGAAUAAGGAUCGGCUAAAUACGUGCAAGUAGCCGCGGUCAUACGUAGGAUCCGCGCAUUAACCGGAGUGACUGGGUGUAAAGAGUUGCGUAGGUGGCGAAAUAAGUAACUAGUGAAAUCUGGUGGCUCAACCAUUCAGACUAUUAUCUAAACUGUUAAGCUCGAGCCCGUUAGGGGUAACUGGAAUUUCUAGUGUAGGAGUGAAAUGCGUAGAUAUUAGAAGGAACACCAAUAGCGUAGGCAGGUUACUGGGACGGUUCUGACACUAAGGCACGAAAGCGUAGGGAGCAAACGGGAUUAGAUACCCUAGUAGUC
rnacentral:rRNA from 1 species